AAUUUCCGUACAAUAAUCUCUGUCUCAGACGUACAAGCUUUAUUCCGAACGCUCCAUGCACUUUAAUCCCAGCGAGAACUGCAUGUCCCUCUGAAUUCCUCCAGUGUCUCGGAUGUCACAAUGCGCAUGGGAACGGCUCUCUGGCAUGCAGCGCUCAGACAUGGCAGGUCCCGACACCGCGGCUGUGUCCGAGUGCGGAUUAGAUUUCCUCACGCUGUCAGGACAAAACCGGAAAAGGUGGAUAGAUUUCCUCUAGCUGCACAACCCCAGUGUGUUUUAUCACAGCCUGCUCCAACACUUACAUUCUAUUCAUUUAUUUAUUUUCACAUCCUUCCAUCUGUCCUUUGUCUUCUGCACUCGUCUACUGAAAAGGGUUAAUGGUGAAGCCUGGAACUUCCAUCACCUCAACACUGAACAUUAACCGUGGUGUGAAUAAACGUGAGUUAAUAACAGUACUUCAGUGUUGGAUUAACGGAAACUGAAGAUAUUCCCCAGUUUGGAGAUACAUGAGAUCGCUGUGAACAAGGCGUGAAAAGUGCUCAAGUCUCCAUCAUAACUUUAAGAAGAUGUUAAAACUCAGAUGAAUUUCCUGGUUACUCAGUUACACUAG